rnacentral:rRNA from 1 species
UGGGGAAUAUUGGACAAUGGGCGAAAGCCUGAUCCAGCCAUGCCGCGUGUGUGAAGAAGGUCUUCGGAUUGUAAAGCACUUUAAGUUGGGAGGAAGGGCAGUAAGUUAAUACCUUGCUGUUUUGACGUUACCGACAGAAUAAGCACCGGCUAACUUCGUGCCAGCAGCCGCGGUAAUACGAAGGGUGCAAGCGUUAAUCGGAAUUACUGGGCGUAAAGCGCGCGUAGGUGGUUCGUUAAGUUGGAUGUGAAAGCCCCGGGCUCAACCUGGGAACUGCAUCCAAAACUGGCGAGCUAGAGUACGGUAGAGGGUGGUGGAAUUUCCUGUGUAGCGGUGAAAUGCGUAGAUAUAGGAAGGAACACCAGUGGCGAAGGCGACCACCUGGACUGAUACUGACACU